CCUACGGGCGGCAGCAGUCGAGAAUCUUUCACAAUGGGGGAAACCCUGAUGGUGCGACGCCGCGUGGGGGAAUGAAGGUCUUCGGAUUGUAAACCCCUGUCAUGUGGGAGCAAAUUAUAAAGAUAGUACCACAAGAGGAAGAGACGGCGAACUCUGUGCCAGCAGCCGUGGUAAGACAGAGGUCGCAAGCGUUGUUCGGAAUCACUGGGCGUAAAGCGUGCGUAGGUUGUUACGUAAGUCGUGAGUGAAAGGCAGGGGCUCAACCCGCGGACGGCUAAUGAUACUGCGAGACUAGAGUGAUGGAGGGGGAACCGGAAUUCUCGGUGUAGCAGUGAAAUGCGUAGAUA
rnacentral:rRNA from 1 species